UUUUUUUUUUUUUUUGGAGUUUGAAUUUUUAAUAAGUGUCCCAACAGCCUCUAAGGAAUGGUCUUAGGGCCACCCUUGAGCUAUACUGACAAAGGGACAUACAUUCUAGGAGAAGGUCUAGAAGGCGGGUGUCUAUCUUAUUCAUAAAUGAACUCCUAGCACUUGAAGAGUAUAUAGCUCAGAUUAUACACACUCAACAAAUAUGUAUUGAUUUAAUUAAUGAAUGGAGACCUGCCCUGUCUCCUGGCACCCUAUGUGAGUAGAAGGCUUGGUAAUAUUUUUUAGUGAAUGACAGCUUUGGAAAAGCUACAAAGGUAAUGCCGUGGCCGCAUAAAGGACUCAGGAUUAUGUAAAUGUAGAAUGAGGCAGUUCAGAAUUAGUUUUCUGGUUGCAAGGAGUAAUCAUAUGUGGAUCUUGACCUACCCCCAAAGAUCUGACAGGCUGAGGAGGUGGGGGGCAGUAUUGGAAAGGGACCCUUAGAAGCUUAGCCUGCAAAUCACUGUUCUGCACAGCAUCUCACCAUUCACCCUCCCCUCACUAGGAUUCUGGAGGAAAGUCCUGAAUGAAGAGCUGACUGGCUGAUGGAAGGCAGGGCCAGGAAUGAGGAGCAGCAAGCAGUUGCGGGGGGGCGGGGGGCAGUAGGGAAAGAGAGCUCCAAGCCACAGGGCACUGCACACGGGGGACACCUGCUCUGACCUAUAAGGGACACAGAGCACACUCAGCACCACACCCUUAGAGGCAGCUGCCUCUUCUGCUUAGUGCAGAGUGAAACCCCAAAUUGGCUGCUUUGGGCCAAGGCAUUUACCCUGUGGCACUUAGCCUAUUGUCAGGUUAAAUUUAUUCUUUUGUCUUCUGACUGACUUUGAUAAAAAAAAAAAAUAGUGUCAAUCUAACUAAGAGGAGAAAUCCUACAACUUCUUUCAAUGACUCAUUGCUGGGCCUUGUAACCCACUGUCAGGGAAUUCUCAUGCCUCAUGUCUGAUGUCAGUUGGGAGAACAGAGAAAGCAAUCCUUACUUCCACUGAACUGCAUCAUUAGACUUCCUAAGAGCACUAUUCACAGUGGGUAGAUCUGGGCUCCGGCAGUUGCUCUGAGCAGGACUGGCUGCCUUAGAAAUCUUGCUAACAUCUAUGAUGGCUUAGUUGACAUUUUGUCUGGCCUAUUUUCCUUUUACCCGUGGAAAGAAACAGGAUAUGGGGCAUAGCCUGGUUAAACUGUUAAACUGGACUUCUUCCCAAUACCAUCAUGCUUGAGGAAGCAAUUAAUGAUGGAUCCAGAAUCUGUUUUUGGACAGUCUGAGAAAAUUUUCCAAUCGGUAUUUUCUUCCUCAGAGUUCAAAUGAAGGAUUCACCUAUGGAUUACUGUGUGUGUAUUCUAUUCCCAUGCACAAAGAUAUGUGAGACCUAGGUUCUGGCUUGAGAUGUAACCUUGUAUGAGAAGCAUAAACUGGGGCACCUGGGUGGCUCAGUGGUUUAGCGCCUGCCUUUGGUCCAGGGAAUGAUCCUGGAGUCCUGGGAUCGAGUCCCACAUCGGGCUCCCUGCGUGGAGCCUGUUUCUCCCUCUGUCUGUGUCUCUGCCUCUCUGUGUGUCUCUCGUGAAUAAAUAAAUAAAAUCUUAAAAAAAAAAGAAGCAUAAACCCCCCAGAUCUCAUAUUCAUCUGUAACGGAGUAGAUUCUGCUACUGGCCGUGAAAAAAAAAUCCUCUAACGUUUUCUCAUCACACUUAAAAUUCCAGUUACUUACAUCUUUAUGAUUUGGGGCCCAGCUACUGUUCCCACCUCUCUGUUUCAUGCACUGGCCCUCUUUGUUCCUCUAGCACUCCAAGCUUAUUCCUGCUUUGGGCCCUCUGCACUUAUCUCCUCCCUCAAAAUUCUGCUCCCCACAACAUCUCCACUUCUCCACAUGAAAUGCUGUUACCACAGAUUUUUGCAUGGCUGGCUCCUUCGUGUUAUUCAGGUGCCAGGUUCAAAUUUGACCUUUCUGGAGAGGCUUCCGUGGCCAUUCAAUCUCAUUCCCUGAUUUAAUUUUUUCAAAGCAUUUACCAUUACCUGGAAUUACCUUGUUUAUUUGGUACUCUGCUUGUUUGCAAAUAGUUCUGCCAUAACAUGACAUACAUGUUCCUAAAAAUCGCUGCACCUGUAGUUGUACAAUAUGAACCACUGGGCUUAUGGCAAAAAUGAGGUUGUGGGCCAAAUACCCAAAAACUUCAUCAGUGGCACAUUAAAAAAGAUGGGAACAAUAAAAAUGUAACACAGUCUUAUUUAUGUUAUGUGCUCAAGAUAUUCAUAUAUACCACAAUAAAUAUGUCACCUUAUCUUGAAAAACACUUGAGGUUUGCCUGUGUAAGUAGGCAGUAGGGGAGGGCUACGCUUGAGAGCUAUUGUGUGAAAUCAGAUGGACAGCUGAAACACCAGAUGUGGCCUAUAACACACUCAGAAAACGGAGGUAGCUGUAGAUGGUUGAGGUGGCUGCUCGCCCCCAUUUUGCAUAUUCCUAUCCUAUGUGACUCAGUUGAACCUGGUGCAGUUUUCUGUGUUCUAAUGUUUCUCAUAGAUGAAAUCAUGCUUAAGAAAACACAAAAUUCACAUUGUGCUUAAACUAUUCCCUAAUAUAUCGGUAGCACUGGAAUAAAUUCACAUGGUCAACACAAACAUUUUAAGAGAUCUGAUGGUAUUUGCAUGCUCUGCUCACUGGAAUUUAAGCUCCACAUGAUCAAGGAACUUUCCUGUUUUAUUUGUUACAAUAUUCCUAUGUCUAAACAACUUGGUACAUAAUUGAUUUUCAGCUGGUAUUUGCUGAAUGAAUGAGUGCAUGAAUGAAUGAAUCUUCCUUCAACUUUCUUCUUUCUGCACCUACCGGCCUGCCCUUUCAAGAGUCACAGUGAUCUUCAUCAGUGUGGGGUUGCUUUUGGUGAGCGGGCAAUAAUAAGAUGACAGGAAUUUCAAAACUGCAGUGUUGGGGCUUAUAUUCUCUGAAGACAAACACCCCCCCACCACACACAAACACACACAAUCCAAACCACUACAAAUCAUUAUGAUGUCUACCUACGUUCUUCUGCUUUUGUAGUCAUGGAAGGUCUCUAAAGUUCCUUGUAUGCCUUACAAAUACCUGAUUCUAAUUAUAGAUUGUCUUGAAGACUGUGCAGAACCAUGGAUGAGGAAGGUAGAAACACCACACAGAGUCCUAUGCUAUGUGGAAAGCCUCCUGGAAUUCAUCCCAUCAGGAGCAAAGCAAGCCUCAAGUCUAACCGUCAGCAAGUAAAUUUUCUGAGAAAUUCGAGCCUCUGUCUCUCUUCUCCAUAAAAAUAUGUCUGAGACCUAAAAUCUAAUCACUCUUUCACUAAGUCAGAGAACAGAAAUAGAAGUGGCUUUGAAAGGUCAUCCCAGACAGGUGGGUUAUGUCAUAUUCCUAAAGGGUUUGGAAAUUGUUUGAAUUUCAGGGAAAUUGUCUAGCACUACUAAGUAAAAGGUCAAAUCAGAAAGUCCCCAAAGAGCUAAAGAAUGCUCUUUCUUCUAAAUUUUCUCUGAUUUAAAUUCUGAACCUAAGAAAAUGUGCCUGAAAAUGCAAAUGUUAUGAUUGAGUUGCUUUAGUUUAUCAGGCAAAAUAGGGAAUAUUUUGUUAUGAUUCUUUACUUCCUCAGUAACUGCUCAAUCUUAUGGAGAGUUGAGUGGAGUGGCAAAGUAAUUACAUGGUGAGUACCAUAUAUUUACGAUUAUUUAUGUUUUCUAGAUUGGAGUACAGGGUAAUUAUUUUUGGUCUUAUUAAGUGCAAAUUACCAAGUAGUCUUCAGGAACAUGUAAUUACUAUGUACUGUAGUCACAUGCCACUUAUCAAGCAAAAUGAAUGCAGUCAAAAUUUUAUUUAAUACAAGCAAAACGAUGCAUGUGGUUUUAGGAAGCAAAGUACAGGAACCUGCCUUCCUGUCUUGGGAGAACAAACAGAAGCAGUUCUUAACUUAGGGCUCUUCUUCAAUGAACAAAUCAACAUUCUAAAAGGUUGAUGCUUGUUAAGAAUACAGAUGUCUGAAGCCCCAAUCUAGACAUAUAAACAAUCCUAGGAGAUGAGGUUGGAGAGUCUGGUUUUUAGCAAGUCCUCAAGGUGUUGUAUGUGCUCACUGCUUUGAAAUGGUACCUGCCUGAGAUUCACAAAAUACUCUGACCAGCAGUGUUACCUUUACACAUAACAGGUGGGGAAAAAUGGAGACCUCGGGGGUGUGAAUUUUUCUGUUUUUCACUGUUUGACUAGUUUGUAUUCUUUUUAGAUUGCACUUUGACAUGUAUCUUUGCUCUCACUUGCAAGGAUACAGAAGUGUUAUUAUACAUUGAGCAUUCUUUGUGAGUUGUUUUCUAUUAUACGUAGACUACCUACAUUCAAUUUAGUUUAGAUAUUUUAGAUCUUAGUGGACAUACAAAGACACACACAUGGACACAAAAUACACAAAAUCUAAAGGACAGCAGUAUGAAGCCAGAGUGAUUUGCCUCAUGGUGACAUCAAGGGCAGACUUUAUUCAAAAGAUAUUUCCUGAGCACUUACACU
rnacentral:lncRNA from 1 species